UGGGGAAUAUUGGUCAAUGGGCGAGAGCCUGAACCAGCCAAAUCGCGUGAAGGAAGACUGCCUUAUGGGUUGUAAACUUCUUUUAUACAGGAAUAAAAAACGGGGACGUGUCCCUUAUUGCAUGUACUGUAUGAAUAAGCAUCGGCUAACUCCGUGCCAGCAGCCGCGGUAAUACGGAGGAUGCGAGCGUUAUCCGGAUUUAUUGGGUUUAAAGGGGUGCGCAGGCGGGCUUUUAAGUCAGCGGUGAAAUCUCGGGGCUUAACUCCGAAACUGCCGUUGAAACUGGGAGUCUUGAGUAUGGAUGAAGUAGGCGGAAUUCGUUGUGUAGCGGUGACAUGCUUAGAUAUAACGAGGAACUCCGAUUGCGUAGGCAGCUUACUAAGCCAUAACUGACGCUCAAGCACGAAAGCGUGGGGAUCAAACAGGAUUAGAUACCCUGGUAGUCCACGCCGUAAACGAUGAUUACUAGUUGUAUGCGAUAUACCGUAUGUGACUAAGCGAAAGCGAUAAGUAAUCCACCUGGGGAGUACGCCGGCAACGGUG
rnacentral:rRNA from 1 species